AACAAGGCGUACCUGCGGACCUGCGGAGGGAUCAUUACACAACAAAAUAUGAAGGCCUGGCUUCGCGGCCGGCUGAAGUAUUUUUUUUUCACCCAUGUCUUUUGCGCACUUGUUGUUUCCUGGGCGGGUUCGCCCGCCACCAGGACCAAACCAUAAACCUUUUUUUUAUGUAGUUGCAAUCAGCGUCAGUAAAAACAAUGUAAUUAUUACAACUUUUAACAACGGAUCUCAGAUCGGAAG
rnacentral:misc_RNA from 1 species